rnacentral:rRNA from 1 species
GACGAACGCUGGCGGCGUGCUUAACACAUGCAAGUCGAACGGAAAGGCCCUGCUUUUGUGGGGUGCUCGAGUGGCGAACGGGUGAGUAACACGUGAGUAACCUGCACUUGACUUUGGGAUAACUUCAGGAAACUGGGGCUAAUACCGGAGAGGAGCUCCUGCUGCAUGGGGGGGGUUGGAAAGUUUCGGCGGUUGGGGAUGGACUCGCGGCUUAUCAGCUUGUUGGUGGGGUAGUGGCUUACCAAGGCUUUGACGGGUAGCCGGCCUGAGAGGGUGACCGGCCACAUUGGGACUGAGAUACGGCCCAGACGCCUACGGGAGGCAGCAGUGGGGAAUAUUGCACAAUGGGCGGAAGCCUGAUGCAGCAACGCCGCGUGCGGGAUGACGGCCUUCGGGUUGUAAACCGCUUUCGCCGGUGACGAAGCGUGAGUGACGGUAAUGGGUAAAGAAGCACCGGCUAACUACGUG